UUGAACGCUGGCGGAAUGCUUUACACAUGCAAGUCGAGCGGCAGCGCGGGGGCAACCCUGGCGGCGAGCGGCGAACGGGUGAGUAACAUAUCGGAACGUACCCUGUCGUGGGGGAUAACACAGCGAAAGCUGUGCUAAUACCGCAUACGACCUGAGGGUGAAAGCGGGGGAUCGCAAGACCUCGCGCGAUAGGAGCGGCCGAUAUCGGAUUAGCUAGUUGGUGGGGUAAAGGCCCACCAAGGCGACGAUCUGUAGCGGGUCUGAGAGGAUGAUCCGCCACACUGGGACUGAGACACGGCCCAGACUCCUACGGGAGGCAGCAGUGGGGAAUUUUGGACAAUGGGCGCAAGCCUGAUCCAGCCAUGCCGCGUGCGGGACGAAGGCCUUCGGGUUGUAAACCGCUUUCAGCCGGAAAGAAAUCGUCAAGGCUAAUAUCCUUGAUGGAUGACGGUACCGGAAGAAGAAGCACCGGCUAACUACGU
rnacentral:rRNA from 1 species